rnacentral:rRNA from 1 species
AACGAACGCUGGCGGCAUGCCUAACACAUGCAAGUCGAACGAUCCCUUCGGGGAUAGUGGCGCACGGGUGCGUAACGCGUAGGAACCUGCCCUUAGGUUCGGAAUAACUCAGAGAAACUUGAGCUAAUACCGGAUAAUGUCUUCGGACCAAAGAUUUAUCGCCUUUGGAUGGGCCCGCGUUGGAUUAGCUAGUUGGUGGGGUAAAGGCCUACCAAGGCGACGAUCCAUAGCUGGUCUGAGAGGAUGAUCAGCCACACUGGGACUGAGACACGGCCCAGACUCCUACGGGAGGCAGCAGUGGGGAAUAUUGGACAAUGGGCGAAAGCCUGAUCCAGCAAUGCCGCGUGAGUGAUGAAGGCCUUAGGGUUGUAAAGCUCUUUUACCCGGGAUGAUAAUGACAGUACCGGGAGAAUAAGCCCCGGCUAACUCCGUG